rnacentral:lncRNA from 1 species
UCUGUAUUUUCUAUGCCUUUUCUUCUGCCUCUUGUAAGGGCACUUGCAGGAUUUAGGGCCCAUCCGGAUAAGAAUCAGGGUGAUCUCAUUCAAAGUCCUUAACUUAAUUACAUCUGAAAGGACCCCUUUCCAAAUAAGGUCACAUUUUUCUCACAAACUCAAUCCCCAGCCUCUUCUUCUGGGGAAUAAACACUCUAUUCCUUUUCCUAGAAAAUGUUCCUUCCAAUAC